rnacentral:rRNA from 1 species
AUUGAACGCUGGCGGAAUGCUUUACACAUGCAAGUCGAACGGCAGCACGGACUUCGGUCUGGUGGCGAGUGGCGAACGGGUGAGUAAUACAUCGGAACGUGCCCAGUCGUGGGGGAUAACGUAGCGAAAGCUACGCUAAUACCGCAUACGAUCUAAGGAUGAAAGCGGGGGAUCGCAAGACCUUGCGCGAUUGGAGCGGCCGAUGGCAGAUUAGGUAGUUGGUGGGGUAAAGGCUCACCAAGCCGACGAUCUGUAGCUGGUCUGAGAGGACGACCAGCCACACUGGGACUGAGACACGGCCCAGACUCCUACGGGAGGCAGCAGUGGGGAAUUUUGGACAAUGGGCGCAAGCCUGAUCCAGCCAUUCCGCGUGCAGGAUGAAGGCCCUCGGGUUGUAAACUGCUUUUGUACGGAACGAAAAGGCUCUGGUUAAUACCUGGGGCUCAUGACGGUACCGUAAGAAUAAGCACCGGCUAACUACGUGCCAGCAGCCGCAGUAAAAC